GGCUUCAUAGCUCAGUGGUAGAGCAUUGACGUACUGGUAUCGCAAAGGUAAUGGGUAUGAAUCCCAUUGAAGCCU